rnacentral:rRNA from 1 species
AUUGAACGCUGGCGGCAUGCUUUACACAUGCAAGUCGAACGGUAACAGGCCGCAAGGUGCUGACGAGUGGCGAACGGGUGAGUAAUGCAUCGGAACGUGCCCAGUCGUGGGGGAUAACGCAGCGAAAGCUGCGCUAAUACCGCAUACGAUCUAUGGAUGAAAGCGGGGGACCGUAAGGCCUCGCGCGAUUGGAGCGGCCGAUGUCAGAUUAGGUAGUUGGUGGGGUAAAGGCUCACCAAGCCAACGAUCUGUAGCUGGUCUGAGAGGACGACUAGCCACACUGGGACUGAGACACGGCCCAGACUCCUACGGGAGGCAGCAGUGGGGAAUUUUGGACAAUGGGCGCAAGCCUGAUCCAGCAAUGCCGCGUGCAGGAAGAAGGCCUUCGGGUUGUAAACUGCUUUUGUACGGAACGAAACGGUCCUGGUUAAUACCUGGGGCUAAUGACGGUACCGUAAGAAUAAGCACCGGCUAACUACGUGCCAGCCGCCGCGGUAAGAC